rnacentral:rRNA from 1 species
UACGAAGGGGGCUAGCGUUGCUCGGAAUCACUGGGCGUAAAGCGCACGUAGGCGGAUUGUUAAGUCAGGGGUGAAAUCCUGGAGCUCAACUCCAGAACUGCCUUUUGAUACUGGCGAUCUUGAGUCCGGGAGAGGUGAGUGGAACUGCGAGUGUAGAGGUGAAAUUCGUAGAUAUUCGGAAGAACACCAGUGGCGAAGGCGACUCACUGGCCCGUUACUGACGCUGAGGCUCGAAAGCGUGGGGAGCAACAGG